CCUACGGGGGGCAGCAGUGAGGAAUAUUGGUCAAUGGGCGGAAGCCUGAACCAGCCAAGUCGCGUGAGGGAAUAAGGCCCUACGGGUCGUAAACCUCUUUUGCCGGGGAGCAAGGGCGGGGACGUGUCCCGGCCCGGAGAGUACCCGGAGAAAAAGCAUCGGCUAACUCCGUGCCAGCAGCCGCGGUAAUACGGAGGAUGCGAGCGUUAUCCGGAUUUAUUGGGUUUAAAGGGUGCGUAGGCGGGCUGUUAAGCCGGCGGUAAAAAUUCAGGGCUCAACCCGGGCGAGCCGUCGGAACUGGCAGCCUUGAGUGGGCGAGAAGUAUGCGGAAUGCGUGGUGUAGCGGUGAAAUGCAUAGAUAUCACGCAGAACGCCGAUUGCGAAGGCAGCAUACCGGCGCCCGACUGACGCUGAGGCACGAAAGCGUGGGGAUCGAACAGGAUUAGAUACCCGAGUAGUC
rnacentral:rRNA from 1 species